AGUGGCGGACGGGUGAGUAACACGUAGGUAACCUACCCUCGAGCGGGGGGCAACUCAGGGAAACUUGGGCUAAUACCGCAUAAGACCACUGGAAUAAAAGGAGCACUUGGGGAUGGGCCUGCGGCCUAUCAGGUAGUUGGUGGGGUAAUGGCCUACCAAGCCGAAGACAGGUAGCCGGUCUGAGAGGACGAACGGCCACACUGGAACUGAGAUACGGUCCAGACUCCUACGGGAGGCAGCAGUGGGGAAUUUUGCACAAUGGGCGAAAGCCUGAUGCAGCGACGCCGCGUGGAGGAUGAAGGCCUUCGGGUCGUAAACUCCUUUUGUAGGGGAAAAUUGAUGGUACCCUAUGAAU
rnacentral:rRNA from 1 species